AUUUUCUCACCCAAUGAAAACAGACCACGACCUACUCUGAGGCCGUGUCCCAGUUGUCGUCACCUUGGUCGGAAGUUCUCUCUGCAAAUCCUGAACCACCACCCCCACAAUGAUCCCGAACCAAAACUGGACUUCCGCCAUUUCCCCCCUCUCACUCACCGUGAACAGACAAGCACGGCAGCGCCCAAGUCCUCCCAUAGAAAUAGUUCGGUUCUUGGGUGUUCUAACCAACACCAAAGUCUAUUUACUUUAACAAGGGAUCAACAAGUGAGGAUUUGUGGGUCACUUUUAUUUUUAACGGACCGGUGCCAGAAACACUGCCUCAGCAUUUAUACUUAUGUGCAUUUCAAACGAGGGUGCGUACAAUGCUGGAUUUGUUUCACGGCUCCUGUUGGAAAAAAAGGAUCUAUUCCUAAAGUCCGUCAUCCACUCACUGAAGAGGGCAAAUCCCAGUUACCUACAUGCAAAGAGGCUGUCAAACAGAGAAAUCACUGCAGACUGUUGGUACACAGGCAUCUGCUGCCCAGCUCAGGAGUAAAGGUAUGUAAGUUUGUACGUACCAACAGGUGA
rnacentral:lncRNA from 1 species